rnacentral:rRNA from 1 species
CCUACGGGAGGCAGCAGUGGGGAAUAUUGCACAAUGGGGGAAACCCUGAUGCAGCGACGCCGCGUGAGUGAAGAAGUAUUUCGGUAUGUAAAGCUCUAUCAGCAGGGAAGAAAAUGACGGUACCUGAUUAAGAAGCCCCGGCUAACUACGUGCCAGCAGCCGCGGUAAUACGUAGGGGGCAAGCGUUAUCCGGAUUUACUGGGUGUAAAGGGAGCGUAGACGGCAGCACAAGUCUGGAGUGAAAUGCCUGGGCUUAACCCCGGAACUGCUUUGGAAACUGUGCAGCUAGAGUGAAGGAGAGGUAAGUGGAAUUCCGAGUGUAGCGGUGAAAUGCGUAGAUAUUAGGAGGAACACCAGUGGCGAAGGCGGCUUACUGGACUGUAACUGACGUUGAGGCUCGAAAGCGUGGGGAGCAAACAGGAUUAGAUACCCUGGUAGUC